CCUACGGGAGGCAGCAGUGGGGAAUAUUGGGCAAUGGGCGCAAGCCUGACCCAGCAACGCCGCGUGAAGGAAGAACGUUUUCGGGUUGUAAACUUCUGUUAUCAGGGAGGAAGCAAGUGACGGUACCUGAUGAAUAAGCCACGGCUAACUACGUGCCAGCAGCCGCGGUAAUACGUAGGUGGCAAGCGUUAUCCGGAUUUACUGGGUGUAAAGGGCGUGGAGGCGGGAGUGCAAGUCAGCGGUGAAAACUAUGGGCUCAACCCAUAGCCUGCAUUUGAAACUGUACUUCUUGAGUGAUGGAGAGGCAAUCGGAAUGCCGUGUGUAGCGGUGAAAUGCGUAGAUAUACGGAGGAACACCAGUGGCGAAGGCGGAUUACUGGACAGUAACGGACGCUGAGGCGCGAAAGCGUGGGGAGCAAACAGGAUUAGAUACCCCAGUAGUC
rnacentral:rRNA from 1 species